UACGUAGGGACCAAGCGUUGUUCGGAUUUACUGGGCGUAAAGGGCGCGUAGGCGGCAAUUCAAGUCAGCUGUGAAAUCUCCGGGCUUAACUCGGAACGGUCAGCUGAUACUGGUUUGCUAGAGUGCAGAAGGGGCAAUCGGAAUUCUUGGUGUAGCGGUGAAAUGCGUAGAUAUCAAGAGGAACACCUGAGGUGAAGACGGGUUGCUGGGCUGACACUGACGCUGAGGCGCGAAAGCUAGGGUAGCAAACGGG
rnacentral:rRNA from 1 species